UUUGGAGGGUGGCCGAGCCUUCUUCAAUGCUGUCAAGGAGGGAGACACCGUGAUAUUUGCCAGUGACGAUGAACAAGACCGCAUCCUGUGGGUCCAGGCCAUGUAUCGAGCCACGGGGCAGUCACACAAGCCUGUGCCCCCGACCCAAGUCCAGAAACUCAACGCUAAGGGAGGGAAUGUACCUCAGCUGGAUGCCCCUAUCUCUCAAUUUUACGCAGAUAGAGCUCAAAAACAUGGCAUGGAUGAAUUUAUCUCUUCCAACCCCUGUAACUUUGACCACGCUUCCCUCUUUGAGAUGGUACAACGCCUUACUUUGGAUCACAGACUUAAUGAUUCCUAUUCUUGUCUGGCAAGUAUAUUCUUUGGUCUACAGCAAUUUAAACAUAACAUUUUUUUCAUUUAAAUAUUUCUCUACCUUUAUGUCAGAAGCUCUUUUCUCCAUUACAGAAUCCCUUUAACAAUUAUAAAUGUGUUCCCGAUUUCCUGGGUUGAGAUAGUUUUACUUACCAAAGAAACAAGACUGAGCGGGAGGAAGUUAUCAGUAGAAACAGAUCCAAUUCCCCAGCCUCCCUAUCUUAGCUUCCCCCUUUUCAGCUGCUACAUGAAAAAUAUUCCCAAGAGGGUAAUCGACUUUGGCACCUGCUUGUGGAGAACUUGUAAAAAUUGCCUCAGUAGCUUAGAGUUUAAGAUGCCCUUCCCUCCCCAUCCCAGAUCUGGUAAUCCUAUCUCAUUAAAUGAAUGUAUUCUCUUUGUGUAUUUUCUUAAAGGUUAAAAUGA
rnacentral:sRNA from 1 species